rnacentral:rRNA from 1 species
GACGUAGGGCGCAAGCGUUGUCCGGAUUUAUUGGACGUAAAGAGCUCGUAGGCGGCUGGUCACGUCGACUGUGAAAACCCGCGGCUCAACCGUGUGGUCUGCAGUCGAUACGGGCUGGCUGGAGUUCGGUAGGGGAGACUGGAAUUCCUGGUGUAGCGGUGAAAUGCGCAGAUAUCAGGAGGAACACCGGUGGCGAAGGCGGGCCAUCUGGGACCGUC